UUCUAAAGACACAAUGUGAUUUAUUCCCAUUGCUCUGCAUGUCAAAGAGAAGAAAUUGAACCAAGCACAUGUAAACAGAAGGAGUAACUAUGACUCUCUUAAGGUAGCUAGAUGCCUCGUCAUCUAAUUAGUGACCCGCAUGAAUGGAUCAUUAAUGAUAUUCACCACUGUCCCUAGAUAUUAUAUUCUAGAUAAACCACAUCCAAGGGAAUGGGCUUGGCAGAAUUAGUGGGGAAAUAAGACCAUGUUGAGCUUGACUCUAGUCCUAACCCAUUCAUAGUUUUGGAAAAUUAGGGAAUAGU
rfam:Picea glauca, whole genome shotgun sequence.